CUUUCAACCAUAACUUAGCUUUGAUCCAUCACUGACAAAGAAAAUAACGCGUUCAUGGGGGAAUUUGGGCGCCUGGAGGCUGCUGCAGUGAGAAGCAGCACAACUGUCCUCAAGUGCUUUAUGAUUUUCCGAAACAAAUAGUUGAGAAAUACGCUCCCUCUUUGUCUGAAGCAAUCACAAGAUUGGGUGAGCAGAAGAUACAGUUAAUAAGAAUGUGAUUGGUGCAGGAUCCAUUUAAGCCAGCAGAAGUCGCAACUGGACAUUACUGAGAAAUUGUAUUGGUUUGCCUGUGAGAUACUGAAAUUGCAAGAUUUCAUUCCCUUUCCUGAAAGGAAGAUUUUCAGGGAAAAAAAAAAAAAAUUCUUGAAAUCAGGAAAGAAAAGAAAAUAAAGAGGAAGAAGAAGAAACUAACAAAAUGAAAUUCGGAAGCUAAAAAAAAGAAAAAUGUUGCAAGCAAUUGAAAACAGUCAAAGUGAAUGGGUUGAGAAGAAGUGCAGAAAAAUGGACCAAAGGCUUGCCAGUUUAAUCCUCAUGGAAAUGGCAAGAUUUCGUUCCCUUUCCUGAAAGGAAAAUCUUCCUUUCAGGAAAGGGAACGAAAUCUUGGAAUCAGAGAACAAAGUCAAACAAACACUGUGGAAAGGAGAUAUGACCCAAAACAGUGCAACUGGAUAAAAUCAAUAAAAUUUGGAAAGGGAGUGACCACAACCAAACGGACUGAGAAGAAAUGAGGGGCAGUGAA